GCCUCUAACACCCUGUGGGUGCUUCCAUGCUCCACGCUCCCUCCAUGUCCAGAGUGGGGACCAAGGGCUCCCUCUGGUCCUUCACUCCAGACCCCCACAUCAACCCUCACCUCCAUCUACAUCCUCCCAUCCCAAAGGCAGCGUGGUGCUGUGGCCGCCUGCCCUGGCCCAAGGGUGCCCCCAGAACCAGGACACGAACACACCCAGGCUGUCCUGGAGAGCUACCCUCCACGGUCCCUAUCUCCAAGUGCCAGGCGGAGGCUCAGGGAGAGGGCUCUCGAGCUGACGGCUUGCCAGGGCCAGGGCUGAGAGUGCACAAGGAACGAAGCCAGACCCUGGUUCAGGAGGAAGUCGCGGAGGGAACCCUGUCUGAGAAGCGGCCCUCCCAAGGCGGCUGGCACAGGGGGUCGCACCCUCUCUGACCUCUGCGGUCAGCGGGCCAAGUUCAAAUCCUGUUCCCCGAUGUCCUACCAGUGUGGUCUGGGGCAGGAGGCUUGAGCUAGUGCCUGCUUCUCACCUCUAAAGGGGGUGGAACCCCAGUGCCUGGGGUUGGAUGCUGGGAUGGGAACUCAGAUGGCACAUGAUGGUCACCCAGUACCUGUCGGUCAUUAGAAUGAUCUGAUUGGAUGUUGGGAGGCCAAAGGACAGAGGCCCAGGCCCCCCGGUGGGACCUACUCUUCCAUAUUCUCUGCACACUGUGUCUGCCCACCCUUCUUCAUCCCUCCAAGUGGCCCCAGACUUUGGUUGUGUCACAGCUUAGCAGGAUGACUGUUUCCAAGGGUCUGAGCUCCUGCCUCCUCCAAGUGCAGACCCACGGCCUCGCAGGGGCCCCUUCCCUGUGGCCCUCAGAGCUUGGCAAAGUGAGUGGAGGCUGGGCCAAGAGAGGCUGUUGG
rnacentral:lncRNA from 1 species